GGAUUAGAUACCCUGGUAGUCUACGCAGUAAACGAUGGUUACUAGCUGUUUGGCAUAAUUAAGUGCUGAGUGGUUAAGCGAAAGUGAUAAGUGACCCACCUGGGGAGUACGUUCGCAAGAAUGAAACUCAAAGGAAUUGACGGGGGCCCGCACAAGCGGUGGAGCAUGUGGUUUAAUUCGAUGAUACGCGAGGAACCUUACCAGGGCUUAAAUGUUAGGUGACAGAUCUAGAAAUAGAUUUUUCUUCGGACACUUAACAAGGUGCUGCAUGGUUGUCGUCAGCUCGUGUUG
rnacentral:rRNA from 1 species